UGCGAUUAUAGAAACUAAGAUACAAUACGAUUUUCUGGCAUACACAUAUAAAAACUUACCUUAGGUGAUCUAUCGUAAUUAAGAUUUUAACGCCAACUUGCAUAAUGCAAAUAAUGGCGGAGCAAAUUGCCCAUGAUUCAAAUAUUAUUUGCAAGGACGAAAUUGAUUGAUAAUUGGGAAAAAGGAAACUUCUAAUAACUUUGACAUAUUUUUAAAUUACAAAUUUGGUAAACUAAUGGUAAUAAUACGUGAUUUGCAAGGACUUG
rnacentral:lncRNA from 1 species